CCUACGGGUGGCAGCAGUGAGGAAUAUUGGUCAAUGGGCGCGAGCCUGAACCAGCCAAGUAGCGUGAAGGAUGACUGCCCUACGGGUUGUAAACUUCUUUUAUAAAGGAAUAAAGUGAGGCACGUGUGCCUUUUUUGAUGUACUUUCUGAAUAAGGAUCGGCUAACGCUGUGCCAGCAGCCGCGGUAAUCCGGAGGAUCCGAGCGUUAUCCGGAUUUAUUGGGUUUAAGGGGAGCGUAGAUGGGUUGUUAAGUCAGUUGUGAAAGUUUGCGGCUCAACCGUAAAAUUGCAAUUGAUAAUGGGAGUCUUGAGUACAGGUGAGGUAGGCGGAAUUCGUGGUGUAGCAGUGAAAUGCUUAGAUAUCACGAAGAACUCCGAUUGCGAAGGCAGCUUACUAAACUGCCACUGACAUUGAUGCUCGAAAGUGUGGGUAUCAAACAGGAUUAGAUACCCCGGUAGUC
rnacentral:rRNA from 1 species